UUUCUUUUAUGCCAAAAAUCUUUAUGAUAUUACGUGAAGAUCAUGUUCCUACGGUAAAUAUAUAAAAAAUUUAUUAUCAUUAGUAACACGCAUUGCUAAGAACUUCAUCUGGACAACUUUAAAGGUGAUUUGAUCAAUAUUUCGAUUUUUUUGCACCCUCAGUUGUUGUAAAUGUUUAUUAUUCAGCUUCCAGAUGAUGUACACAUCUCUAUUUCGAAAAACUGACCCUUAUGACAGGUUUUAGGGUCCAUGGUUUCAUAUCAUAUCAUGUUGCUUCUCAGGUUAAUGUAUUGUACUGGAAAACAAGACAAAAAUCCUGAAUGGGAAAGAGUUGUUUGCAGGAGAGUCAAGGACGAUCCCAGAUGAGAAGCAGACGCUGGAAUCAUCAGGAGCUCCAGACACAGGGAUCACUUCAUCUCAUCUCUCAGAUCCUACAACAAAAGCACCAUGACAUCAGUUUGUUGUUUUCCUUUCUCUUCGCUGGUUGCUGAUGUACUCUACCCAGGCAUAGAUGUUCAUCCAUCAAUUAUGAACAUUCAGCCGCAAACACAAGGUGCGAGCGCGGAUGGGAGAAUGGAGGAUUUUUUUUUUUUUUUUUGGAGCAGCGGGAUGGUGCCCCCUCCGGGAGUUGGUGCCCUACUCUGCGUGUAGGGAGCGACGGUACUGAACACCUUUAAUAUUGCAGACACUAGUCCAUAUCGAGAUUUGAUUAAAUGCUCUACUUUUGAUUUAUUCAUUUAAACAUGGCUGAAUUCCGUGACGUUCACAGCAAGUUCCAUUUCCUCCAUUCAAUCCCUGUCUCUUUUCAAACACAAACGCGGUGAAUUUAUGAAUGAAAGUGUGAAAGUUAAUUCUGACACAAAACGAAGUUGUUACGUAUCCUCACGCUUUUUAAAAGUGGGUAACGUACCACGUAGUAGACUACACCACGUUAGUUAUUUAUCAUUUAAAAAAAAAAAAAAAGAAGCUUCAUUUAUUGAUAGAUAAUCAAUUAUUACCCAGCUUUUCCUCCUGAGUCUCAGGCCGGUGACACACUGCGUGUCGUGAGCGUGGCGCUUCUGCUGCUGGCGGCUGCUUCGCGUUUUCUG
rnacentral:lncRNA from 1 species